UCCACCUGGGUGACAUUUGCGGCUAAUCAUUACAGGAACAAGCAGCGGUGGAGAGGGAAGCACACGGGCACUAACAACAGCAGCAGGUCGCUUUUCAGAGAAAACUACAGGAUUCUGCUUGAAAACACUCAAAGCCAUCUAACUACAAUGAAAGGUUAUACCAACAGAGACAGGGGUUGGCAAGACUCUGCCAGAAUCCGAGGCUGAAACACAGAGCAGAGCGGCAUGAAGACAGGCCGUCAUCUUCUCCCCGGCUGACUAUGCAUCCCUACCAGCGAUCCCUCAAAAAAAAACCUGGCCACAGCUGACAGCGAAGCCUACUUUUAAGGGAGAUUUAUCAAGCCAGUGUCCAAACAAGACUCCCAACUGUCCCCCACUCCCCUCUCUCUACCCACCCAAGGACUGAUUUCCAUUAAUCCCUAAUGCAUAGAUCUCACACAGGCAUGUGUUGCUUCUCUCUCUCCCUUCUCCUAUUCUCCUUCCAACAGGGAUUAUGUAGGCUUCAAAAUGUUUCUACUACAUUUCCAUGGGAACUGAGCCCCAUUUUCCAGAAUAUUACAUCUUCAAAAUGCUCCUGAGCCACACAAAGCCAUAUUUAUGUUUUGCCCUUUGGACAAGUUUUAAUAUCACUAUAACUCCAUGUGAAAGAAAAUAAAUGUCAAACAGUAAAGUGAAUAAUUCAUGGGCUGCACAAGUCUUUUUUUCGCAGAGUAGAUGGUUUCUAUGGUAACACUGGCUAUGUGUAAAGGGCUAUACAUGAAAAAUCCCAUGUAAAUCUGUAAGAGAAGGUUAGAAAUAUUACAAACAUAUAUUGUCUAAAUAAAAAAUCUCAAUGCAAA